rnacentral:rRNA from 1 species
AGAGUUUGAUCUUGGCUCAGAACGAACGCUGGCGGCAGGCUUAACACAUGCAAGUCGAACGCCCCGCAAGGGGAGUGGCAGACGGGUGAGUAACGCGUGGGAACAUACCCUUUCCUGCGGAAUAGCUCCGGGAAACUGGAAUUAAUACCGCAUACGCCCUACGGGGGAAAGAUUUAUCGGGGAAGGAUUGGCCCGCGUUGGAUUAGCUAGUUGGUGGGGUAAAGGCCUACCAAGGCGACGAUCCAUAGCUGGUCUGAGAGGAUGAUCAGCCACAUUGGGACUGAGACACGGCCCAAACUCCUACGGGAGGCAGCAGUGGGGAAUAUUGGACAAUGGGCGCAAGCCUGAUCCAGCCAUGCCGCGUGAGUGAUGAAGGCCUUAGGGUUGUAAAGCUCUUUCACCGGAGAAGAUAAUGACGGUAUCCGGAGAAGAAGCCCCGGCUAACUUCGUGCCAGCAGCCGCGGUAAUACGAAGGGGGCUAGCGUUGUUCGGAAUUACUGGGCGUAAAGCGCACGUAGGCGGAUAUUUAAGUCAGGGGUGAAAUCCCAGAGCUCAACUCUGGAACUGCCCUUUGAUACUGGGUAUCUUGGAGUAUGGGAAGAAGGUAAGUGGGAAUUCCGAGUGUUAGAGGUGAAAUUCCGUAAGAUUUUCGGAGGAACACCAGUGGCGAAGGCGGCUUACUGGUCCAUUU